ensembl:lncRNA
CGGGGUGUCUGUGAAAAAGAGGAAGUGUUACACUCAAGGCUCUGUCUGUCAUUCUGUCUCUGAUGAUCAUUUUUGACUUAGUAUUAACUUUGCAAAGUUAGAGGAGGUGUAAUGGGUAACCAUGAUGUAUUGAAGUUUAGAGAUCUAAUGAAAAUCAGUAAAGAAACAGUGUUGAGCUGAGGUCAUGAGAAAGUGUUAAAGAACUGGUCAGGUCAAUGUGAGGCCAAAAGGAUGUGUCGAAAUCUGAUCACGCUUUGGGCACGGGCACAGACCGUGACCAAGGCGUGUUGGAUCAUUAUGAUAUCGUCAGCCGUCAUCAAGGGACUAUUAGUCAUUGAACGGAGAGAUGGUGGGAAAAUGUCCUAAUAAGGACAUAAAACCAUGCCACCGUCCAAAGCAAGAGAGAAGCGUUAUGAAAUCUUAAUCAAGGGGUUAUCAACCAGUGAAUGGAGAGAUGCUGAAAACAUGUCCUAAUAAGGACACAGAACCAAGCUAGUGUCCGAAGCAAGAGUGUAUAUAACCUGAGGAGCACGGACUAAAGUUCAUUCUUCCACUCGCUCAAGCCUUGAAGAAACACCUGAGACGGAGAAUGUGAGCAGCCUAAACAUCGCAGAAAGGACUUCAAGAAAUCUUCAGCAGAAACAGAUGAAGGAAUUAAGAGCACAACGGAUUAACCAUUUUUGCCAACAUGCUGUGGAUUACAAUUUGGAUAUUGGAGUACUUUUGUUCACGCUGCUGGCGUGAAGUUUGGACUUUGAGGAAGUUACGAGACCUUGGCCGGGGUGGUGAUUUGCCUCAAGGACUUGGACUUUCAGCAGGAAGGGAAAGGCAAGCCAUGGAAAGACCUGACCCUCUCCAUCUCACCUAAAUUUAUUGUUAUUUCUAACCAGGCAUCAGCUCUUUUAGGUUAAUUGGUUAUUUAAGGUUGAAGUUGUAUGGAGUUCUGGUCCUGUUGAUGACUCUGUCUGCCGCCUAUGGAUUGCAAUGCUACGUAUGUGCAGGCGACAAAUCAAAUGCCUGCACACAGAAAGAAAAUUGCUCUCCUGGCUUUGACCGUUGUAGCAGUAUUGAGCGUGAAGGUCUUGUUGCCAAGAGCUGCGCUACUGCUGCUAAAUGCAGAGAACCCUUCAAGUGCUGUGACACAGACUUGUGUAAUGGUGCCAUACCCACUGGUUCCAGUAUCCUCCUCCUGCUGGUGUCCUCAGCCAUCACCUCCGUCUUUCUCUGAGGCUCUGUAGAACAUCUGAUGUUAUUCUUACCCGAUCUAUACAACUCAAAAUGUAAAAGUUGUGAAUGAUUCCAGAAUUGUUCAAUAAAGACCCAAUAAUGGACCUUUGAGUUGUUUAAUUUUUCAGGUUCUGCAUUUACAUCACUAUUUACAGCUAAAAAAAGCUUUGUUAUGAAUCCAUAAUCAGAAAGGUUACGGACAUAAAAUUCUACAACCAUGAUCAAAUCUACAUAUUUAAUAGUUAGUUGAUGAUUCUGAGAAAAAAUGAAGUAGACCAGCCGACUCUUUGAUGAUCCAUUUUCACGACUUCAGACAUACACAGAAAACAUGUGAGGUGCUUAGUAUAAGAGAAGAAGCUGAAUGAAUUCGUCAAAUGACUUACGUCUUUAAGUAUUUAGACCUGCUAAAGAUAUUCUUUAAUCUUCUGUAAGAGAAAGUGUGAGGACUCGCUUUCCUUUUAGAUUUGAAAAAAGAAGAAAUGAGUCAAUGAGGCUUAUAAAGAUUUCAGGCUUCCUGCUCUGAUGCCUUUGAUUUCAGACACAAAGUACAAAAC